rnacentral:tRNA from 1 species
GGGUGCGUGUCCCGAGCGGCAAAGGGGGCGCGCUGUAAACGCGCUGCGUAAGCUUCGGAGGUUCGAGUCCUCCCGCACCCACCA